UGAGGACAACGGGACUCUCUUUCAGAAGGGUUUGUUUUUAGCUAAUGCAUUAAUUGAUUCCAAAAAAGAGUCCAAAUGGAACACUCUGCUUUCAUCUGCUUGGAGUAACCUAAUAAAAUAAUGUUGUUUGUUUUUAGAUUCCCGGCUGUUCAGGGGGUUUUGCUCAAGGCAAAACCACAGUCCCCUCGAAUAACUUCAGAAGGAGAGUUAAGAAGACACACUAAUUGUGCCCGUCUGAGGUUUGCUGCUUCCAGGGCCCAGACACACCCCCUGCACGCUGGUCUGGCCACCAGCGCUCCAGUGCCACCACUGUCCGUUGGGCAGGACUCCUGCCCCUUUGGAGAAUGGUUGAUUUUGCUGAGGAGCAGUUUGGGAGGUUUAAAAAUGGACUCCAGCUCUUGGAACAGCCUCGUGCAAGCAUGCUGUGUGUGCUAGAUGUCUGUGCUGUGGGACGGGGGAAGGGAAAACGGCUUAAUGAACUAAGACUGAUUAGAACACUUCCUCUCAUCACCCCCUCCUCCACCCUUUACUUAGACCAGCUCUUUCUCUGGUGUCUUGUUGGGCUGCUUUCAAGUGGGAGGGGGAAAGGAACCCCCUGCCGCCCGCCCUGGAGCUCCUUGGCCAGUGAGAACUCUUUAAAUGUGGGGCAUUACAUGCCGGGCAUGAUCUCAUUAAGUCCCUCCCUCACCCUUCAGGUAGCUGCCGUCUUCCCUGCGGCACAAGUGAGGGGGAACCCAGUCAGGUUAAAUAUCUUGCUCAUCACGGUCUCUCAGAGCAGAUAAGCAUGUUGCUGUUAGAAUCCAGGUCUGGUGGCGGCCCACGCUCUCUUCUUUCCCGACAAGGAUUUCUUAACAAAACUCAGUACAGAAAGUUCUUCGGGUGGUCUAAGCCUGGGAUUUCUGAGUGUCCCCCCACCAUUCUCAGUAGCAGGCGUAUCAUUCCUAGCUGGGAAUGGAAGGGAAGGGUGAUCUCGGAUUAUAUACCAUAGUAAGUGCAUCUGCUCUCUCAAUUCCAGAGCCCUGAGGACCAGGUAAAUCCUGACAAGCCUUUUGAGGUUCAUCUUAAAACUAUUUUACAACAUAUUAAAGUCAGUAAAUAGAGGAUUAAGGUAAACUUUUGCAUUUGCCCCACGGGUUUAAAAUUGGAAGGUAAUGUGGAAAAAGCAGAGAUAAAUUUACAAACUGCUACAGUGCAAUGCGAUAUGACGCAAACUGAAUUGGACCAUCUUAAAAAUCUCUGCUAUAAUUAGAAAAUGCCGUUCUUCAACCAAAGUUGGAAAAAAUGGAAAACCAAGUUAAAAGUAAGUAUCUAUGGGUACUUGGCCUCAAAGUGUGUCUGGAGGGAAUGGAGACAGUUUACAGAAUGUGGGAUUUGCUGGAAUUACUUGUGGACAUAAAAUCUCCAUCACCACUGAUGGUGGAAAAGUCUUACUCUAGUCCCAGCAAGUUACCUGCUAUCCCGAAAGUUCAAGGUGGGUGUCUACCACUGCAUUGUACUGCCUCCUUGCCCAUUCUUACAUAAAUGAAAGCAAAUUACUGACUCACCCACACCAAAAAUGUACAGCAUAGGCAAAAGGGAAACAAAAUACGUAUUUAUACAUAUGUCUGUGUGUGUAUAUACACACAUGUAUGUAUGUAUGUAUUAAAAUAUGUUCUCAUUCCUUUUUCAAAAGGGUGAUAUAUUUCAGUGUGAAUUUCUGUUUUGAAGCAGAAUGUAACUAAGUUUUAAAUACAGAGAUACACUUUAUCAAUUUGAGAAUUUAUGGAGAAUUACCGACCCAUGUAAGGAGCUGCUUUUUAUGAUGACCUCUUCAUUUGGGCCAGCUCCAGUGUUAUGAAAGGGUUACACUCUGUUCGAGUAAAACCAGAAAAAAAGAAAAAUUGGGGAUGAGGGAAACUGAAACAAGCAUUCUUUUUUUCUACUGAAGACAGUAGUGAAGUGAUUGCCGAUGUCUGUUGGACAUGGGAAGCAGAGAUUUCUGCACACUUUGUCUCAGCCUCUGUCCUGCCUCCCUCUGCAGUGUCUGCACGACCUUCUGAACUAAAGAAGCAGUUCACAAUCGACCUGGAACUUCAAGUUACCGGUGACCACGACUAAUAAAAAUCUCACUACUGGAUAUGCCAAAAGACAGACUGGCUGAAGAGAAAUGGCACUAAAUGGAAAGCUCAGAUCUCUAGAAAGAAAUGAAGAGGACGAGAAAAGAAAAAUGUGAAGUGACAACUGCAACAUUUCCUGGUAUGCUGCUGUGUGUCAAGCCAGGACCAGGUAGCACACAGACGGACAGGGAGCUAAAUGAUUUGCACAAGACCACACAACUUACCACACGGUAGGAUGGCGCCGUUGGGAGCCUUACCCCUUUAGGCAAUGCCAGCAUACCUUGGCAGAAGGACAUGUGUUUGGAAACACCUGCUAGAAGAUUCUAAAGAUUGUUUUCAAUCUUCUAAGAUUCUUGGAAGAUGAAAGGUCAGAAAUAAGUUGUGGAAAAAUUCAUGAAAAGUAAUCAUUUUCAUCCUCCCCCCCGUUCUCUGAGGCUGGGCCAUGACUCUGCCCCCCUCCCAUCUGCAUGGAGUGGAGGGCGCCUGCACCCUGCCCUUCCACAGCCCAGAAGACGCAUUAGGCUUCUCGUGCACAGUAACUAGCUUUAGAGAAUGGAGCCAGGGUUGACCUUUUUUCCACCUCAGACAUCAGCCAUAGUUUCUUUCACAGCUCUGAAAACUAAUUUGCUAUGCGUCUUUACGAAAUUUGUUUAAACAUUUCAGAUCUUUACUUCCUGCUUUGUGAGAAAGGAAUUUUGUGAUUAUCUCCUAGGAUUGCUGCAAAUAUUAAGACAGACCUCUCCUCAUAUAUAAAGAGCUUGGCACAUUAUAAUGUUUUUUCCUGUAUAUUUCCUUCUUCUUAUUAAUUCCCUUGCCUCUAAAUUUUUUUUUUUUGGUUCCCUUCUCUCUUUUCUUUCUUCCAUUUUCUUCUUUUCGCCUAUAGGAAGCUGCAUAUAUUUUAUCACAUUUGCUUUCUUAAAAACCCACACCAAUCAUUUCCUAGAAAGUCAUACUUUUAAUAGCUAUGUUUCAUGAGCAAGGUGUGGGGAAAGAAUUCUUUCAGAUCACAGUUCUCCUGUCAGUACUUUUUACUGCUAAUUUAAAAAAAUCAAAUUUAAAGUCUAAUUAUUUCUUGUAAAUAUACACAUACAAAUGUAUCUUUUUCAGUUUUCAAAUAUGACCAAUACAGCUUUAUCUAGCUAUUUCCUCUUUGUGGCACUUUCUAUAGUGGCAUUCUACAUUUUUAGGUCAAGAUGUAAGGCCUGGUAACCACUGAAUAUGGUGUUAGAAAAAUCAAAUGACUUUUUAUAACCAGAGUUAAACACACAAAUAUCAUUCAUGUGUCCCUUUUUAUAAGCACAUGGCUAAACAUUUUGAAUAGUCUUCCGUCAAGCCUCCUUCAUUUGUUAGUAAUUUUAAAGGGUUAAGAGUACCUAGCGGCUGAUUUUAAAUAGCCGCAUCAUCUGCAGGAACUACCAGCCCAGUGCUGUUAUUUAUUUUUUAUGGUAAAAAUAUCUGUCUCAGGCACUGCUUAGUAUAAAAGUAGGUUACUUUAAAAAAAAAUCCUGGAUAAUUAAGACAGAAAAGUAUUCUGUAAUUUCACUUUGGCUUCUCAGAUACAUUAAGCAUGGCAAACAAAUUAAAAUGAGCAGGACUCCAGGUUUCAGGAUGAAUAUUCCAUGGAUGUGUGGUGCAUCACCAUCUUUGUAAUCUUUCAAUUAAGUGGAGUCAUUAAAAAAAAAGAAAAGGCUGGGACGAUUAUGUUAACCAUAGAUUCCAAACAGAUACACGACAAUUCAUCUCCCGUCUUGACCUAAAAAUGAAAGUCUUCUCUAAAUAGAUACCUUACAGAUUUUUACCUUUCCACUUUAAUACGUGUUAAUUUUCUUUUUUUUUUUUUUUGUGAUUGUUACUGCCUUUACAGAAAUCGGGAACGCAAAAGUGGGUUUCCCCAGAACAACUGCUAAGCCCGUCUAAGCUCUAAAAGCUUUUUUAAAAGUACAAUUAUUAACGGCACCCCAGUUCAGGAGAUUGCAGACUUAGUGGUGUACAAAUACACAUCUGUGUUCAGAGGAAGCCUGUAUUUUUUAGGACAAUCCCUUUGCCACACACACAGAUGGAAGCAAAGUGGGAGGUAAGCAGCAAGGAAACAGCCGCUGGAACAACCAAGCACACUCGCUUUACAUAAAUACAGCUCCACUGUAUUUAACUCUCGGUAGAGUCUAGCAUCACUGGUAACAAUGGAUGAAACCACGAACCAAAAUUCCAAGCCAGAAUGCAGUAUGCAGAGGGCAUAAAUAUACUACAGUGCUCCACCACAAAAAGAUACACUGUGUGGUAACUUAGUAUUUGCAGCAGUUUUUCCACAAGUCCAGAAAGGAGAAGUUACAUUAGUUUCCUCCUGUAGCAUCUGCUAUUACCACUCUAGGUUACAAUUUCCGUGAAAUUUAGUAGCGUGCUAAACCAUACUAGUCUGAUGAUAUCUAUUUUUUGGUUAAGAAAGAAAGAGUUUCUUUUAUCUGAAAAUGCCAUCUAAGGGAACCCUCAUCCACUCAUGAAGCUUGUGAUCUCUCUGGUAAAGUUCUCUUCCUAGUAUCUUUAAAUGAGUGGCUGACUUUUAUAGCAUGUCUGUUAGAACAAUACUUUUAAAAAAUCCAUUAUCACUCAAUUAAGGAAAGAAAGGUAGGACAUAAAAGUAAACAGUAACAAAUAUGGGUCUGUAUCAGUAAGCCAGCAAACGCAGAAGGAAAUAAUUCUAAACACUAUUCUUUAAAAAAUGAACUUUUAAAACUAGUCUUCAUGUUAAAGGACACAUGACAGAAUUCUGAAGUUUUUACCUGUGGAGGAGGAAAAAAUAUCCCACAGCUGAAAAGAAAGUUAAUUCUAAGGCCUAACAAUGACCUUGUUCAUGUUCACAUUUGUAUUAAAAUCUUACCCUCCUUUCUUCAGAAAUGUUUUAAGCAUUAUUUUUUCUAUUAUUUGAAACAAUUUAUUUCUCUAUUCAAAAGAUGGGAAAAAAUGCUACAAACAUUUGCUGAUGGGCAAUAACGGAAAAUAAACUUUUCAAACGUCAUUACCACUCUUUUUCCGUAACACAAAAGAUCAAGAAAAUCACAGGGAAACGAAAAAGCGUGUGCUACUCAAACUGAUCUGUCAUGUUAGCUGACUAAACAUAUAGCCCUUCUCUUUCUGGUAUUUUUAACUAUAGAUUUUCUAGUAAAUUCCUAUCAAGCACCACAUCUUAGCAGUAUUGACAAAAAGGCGGCUUAUUGCUAAACACCUUAAAAACAUUUACCAAGGUAAUAAAAGAAAUGUUCAUGAUUUACCAUAUCUAUAGUGUCCAAAAAAAGCACAAUGGGAAGGAAGCAUUUUUCCAGUGGUUUGACAACUAUUUGAGUCAACUGUUAGGCUUUCAUGACACUAGUGGCCAAUUGCUCACUUUUAAAAGCACAGGAGGGGAGAGCGACUGGGAUAGAGAUUGGGGAGGAAGGACAGGCUCUUUUCUAAAUAUAUUUUCCACAUAUCUGUUUCCGUGCAAAUAAAGGUACAUGGAUUAUGUCUUCCUGUCCAUCAAUCUGCAGCCAACUUGGAGGCUGCUCUCUGAACAAUUCACACAGUAAAGCUUUUCUUUCACAUGUGAAACAUCCGUUCACCAAAGUGUGCACUGAGUGCCUGGAAUGUGCCAGGCACUGUGCUCGGCCAGGUUAUCCGGUCCAAACAUACAACUGGCAAGCAGCUACUCUGUGUGUUUCUGUGGACGUGGCACUCGAGAUCAAAAAACUACUGAGGAAUGUGAUUAACCAAACAAGGGCUGCCAAACUGCUUUUUCCCCCUAAAUCAAAGGCAUGACUAGUUUUUAGGGUACUAGAAGAUGUUCACUUUUUACCCAAGGAUCCCUAAUGCUAAGACAAAAGAUUUUAUCUAAAUGUUGGAAAGUAUUGGCUGGCCAUAAGGAUAAAGAUCUUAAGGAAUGGACCACUAAUCGGUUUUACCUGCCAGCCUAAAAAGAGCACAGAAUUUCUUCUACAAUGUUAAGCCUUGAUGAUAAGUCUCUAAAUGAUAAAUAAUUCUUGUUUUAAAAUGGGAGAGAUGAAGCAAAAAUAUACAGAUGGGACCUAAUUUAACCUAUAAGCUUUUGCAAAGGAAACCAUAAGCAAAACAAAAAGACAACCUACAGAUUGGGAGAAAAUAUUUGCAAAAGAUGAGACUGACAGGGGCUUAAUUUCCAGAAUAUACAAACAGCUCAUACAACUUUAAAAACCCAAUCCAAAGAUGGGCAAAGGACCUAAACAAGCAAUUCUCCAAUGAAGACUUACCAUUGAUCAAUAGGCACAGGAAACAAUGCUCAAUAUCGCUAAUUAUCAGAGAAAUGCAAGUCAAAACUACAACCUCACACCAGUCAGAAUGGCCAUCAUUCGGAAGUCCACAAACCAUAAAUGCUGGAGAAGGUAUGGACAAAAGGAAACCCCCCUGCACUCUUGGUGGGAAUGUAGUUUGGUGCAGCCAUUAUGGAAAACAGUAUGGAGACUCCUCAGAAGACUAAAAA